rnacentral:misc_RNA from 1 species
UCGAGACCCGAACGAACGGACGAUCGCGAACGUGUUAUAUCACCACAUCUACAUCGCCUUCGCCUCGUCUUGCCCGUAUCCCACCGUGGUGCGGCACGGCGAGGCGGAGGGAACGAAACCCCGGCGCGGUGGGCGCCAAGGAACACUUUUUGGAAGCGCCGUCGCGGCCUCCGUCCUUCCUCGGGGAGGGGCGGGGGAACGCGGGCGUGGAUAUAGAUAUCGUAUUUUGUACGACUCUCGGCAACGGAUAUCUAGGCUCUCGCAUCGAUGAAGAACGUAGCGAAAUGCGAUACUUGGUGUGAAUUGCAGAAUCCCGUGAACCAUCGAGUCUUUGAACGCAAGUUGCGCCCGAGGCCAUCCGGUCGAGGGCACGCCUGCCUGGGCGUCACGCCUCCCGUCGCUCCCCACACACGCACACGCACUCGUGUGCAUGCGUGCGGAUGCGGAGAUUGGCCCGCCGUGCCUCGUGCGCGGCGGGUCGAAGUGCGGGCCGUCGUCGGGCCGGGCGCGGCGAAUGGUGGACGAACGGACCGUUUGUGCCUGCUCUUCGCGUCCCGGACCCAAAUAACGCGACGUGCCGUCGUCGGACCCCUCACCAAGAAUACGAGAUCUCUCGUGUCCUCGGAACG